rnacentral:tRNA from 1 species
CGGGCGGUAGCUCAGCUUGGUAGAGCUUCCGGCUGUAGACCGGAGUGUCGCAGGUUCAAAUCCUGCCCGCCCGA